GCCUUGAUAGCUCAGUUGGCUAGAGCGUUGGUCUCAUACGGAGCGCGUCCGGGUUCGAUUCCCGAGCGUACACUAGUAUGACCAGGUCAUCAUCCUUGGGAUAUCCAGAGGUCACGGGUUCGAGCCCCGUUCGAGGCA
rnacentral:tRNA from 1 species